ACUUUUAAAAUCUUAAGUAUUCACUAAAAUUGGACACAGAAGAUUAGCAUGGCCCCUGUGAAAGGAUGACAUGCAUAUUUGUGAAGCGUUCCAUAUUUUU
rnacentral:snRNA from 1 species